CCCUCUGAAGUUUCAAGUCUGCUAAAAUAAACUGACAAUGGAUUUAGUGCCUUUUUCUCCAAAGCCUCACUGACAGAGUGGGUUCUUAAGCUUUUUAAUUGGUGCCAAACAAGCUAAUAGGUAAGAAAUUGCAUCACACGGUAGCUUUAAUUAGCAUUUCUUUGAAUACGAGUGAAGUUGAGUGCUUUCCCCAUGUUUUUUAAAUGCCAUUUCUUCUGUCAGAUUUUGAUAUUUCCUUCCUUUGACAGUAAAGAAUUCUUUAUGCAUCCAGGAAAUUGGCCUUUUAUCCAUGACACCUCAACUAUUUUACCACAGUGUUAUUUUCUUUAUAUUUUACUAUGGUUUAUUUGUCAUGCAAUUUGUUUCUAUUCAGUAAAAUUUACCAAUCUUUUUUUUGUUAUUAUUAUUGCAACUGGAUUUUGAGUCUAAUUACGAAGGUUUUCCUCACUCUAAGUUUAUAAAAAAUGUGCCUAUGUUUUCCUCUUGUACAUAUCUCUCUCGUUUAUACUUACAUUUCAGAUCCAUUUGGAGUUCUUUCUGAUGCAUUAUGUGAGGUAUGAAUACAAUUUUCUUUUUUUUCCAAAUGAUUAUCCAGUUGUGCCAAAUUCAUUAUUAAAUGUCCAUGUCUGCCUCAGUGAUUUGAUGUCUCACAUAUGCUAAGUUUCCACAUGCACUUCAGCUUGUUCCUAGGCUCUCUAUUGUGUUUCGUUGGUAUGUCUAUCUAUUAUAUCCCAGUAUCACAUUUUAAAAAGAGAACUUAAUAGUGUAUUUUAAUGUCUAGUAGGGCUAGUUCCCCUUUAUUCCUCUUCUUCUUAAGGGAUUUUCAAGCUAUUCUUGCAUGUUUAUUUUUUUCAUUCAAUCUUCAAAACAACUUAUCUUAUUCCAGAAAAACAAGCAAACAAACGAACAUUUAUUUGUAUUGGAAUUGCACUAAAUUUAUACAUGAAACUGAAAAAAAUUGAUAUCUUUAUGAAGCUGCAUAAUCCUAUCCAAGGACAGAUAUCUCCUUCCAUUUGGUAAGUCUUUAUCAGAAAUGCUUUCAAGUUUUCAUCAUAUAUGUUUUGCCCAUUUCUUGUUAAGUUUAUUUCUCAGUAUUGGAAGGGAAGGGCAGAAUUAUAAGAGAUUUUUCCUAACA
rnacentral:lncRNA from 1 species